GACGAACGCUGGCGGCGUGCUUAACACAUGCAAGUCGAGCGAUGAAGCUCCUUCGGGAGUGGAUUAGCGGCGGACGGGUGAGUAACACGUGGGCAACCUGCCUUAUAGAGAGGAAUAGCCAUCCGAAAGGACGAUUAAUACCUCAUAAUAUUGUAGUUUCGCAUGGAGCAACAAUCAAAGGAGCAAUCCACUAGAAGAUGGGCCCGCGGCGCAUUAGCUAGUUGGUGAGGUAACGGCUCACCAAGGCGACGAUGCGUAGCCGACCUGAGAGGGUGAUCGGCCACAUUGGGACUGAGACACGGCCCAGACUCCUACGGGAGGCAGCAGUGGGGAAUAUUGCACAAUGGGGGAAACCCUGAUGCAGCAACGCCGCGUGAGUGAUGACGGCCUUCGGGUUGUAAAGCUCUGUCUUCAGGGACGAUAAUGACGGUACCUGAGGAGGAAGCCACGGCUAACUACGUGCCAGCCGCCGCCGUAA
rnacentral:rRNA from 1 species